GACGAACGCUGGCGGCGUGCCUAAUACAUGCAAGUCGAACGCAGUGGGGACGGGUGAGUAACACGUGGGUAACCUCCCAUCAGAGGGGAUAACACUUGGAAACAGGUGCUAAACCGAUACUGAUGGAUGGACCCGCGGUGCAUUAGCUAGUUGGUGAGGUAACGGCUCACCAAGGCCACGAUGCAUAGCCGACCUGGGAGGGUGUACGGCAAACCGGGGACUGAGAAACGGCCCAGACUCCGAGGGGAGGCAGAAGUAGGGAAUAUUCGGCAAGGGAGGAAAGUCUGACCGAGCAACGCCGCGGGAGUGAAGAAGGUUUUCGGAUCGUAAAACUCUGUUGUUAGAGAAGCGGUAUCUAACCAGAAAGCCACGGCUAACUACGUGCCAGACGCCGCGGUAAUC
rnacentral:rRNA from 1 species